UAUUAUUUCAUCCAUAUACAUAAUUGUCAUACAAUUUUUAACCAUCUGAUCUGACCAUUAUUCCAUUUAAUUUCACUCACUCAUUCAUUCUCUCUCUCUCUCUCUCUCUCUAACUUCUCCUUACCCUCCAUUCCUACCAAUUAUUAAAUAAUAAUAACACAGCCACUCUUCUACAUGACACAUCUUAUUCUCUCUCUCUAAAUAUUCGACCAUAUAUAUAAAUACAUAUACUUUUAGGGCCAAACACACAUUUGACAAGCACACAUUUCCUAAAUAAAGAUAUAUGUAUAUAUAUAUAUAUACAUAUUAUCCUUCCCAACUAGUCUCUCCAUCUCCGCAGUAAAACAUGAACACGCAACUGAGCCUAAAUCUGCCGAGGCAGCCACUGCCACGUCAGCAUAGAGCCGAGACUCGACAACGAGAUUCUCUCUCGAGUAGUGAGACUGAAGAGGCGGAGACAGAAUCUUCCUCCUCCGCCUCUUCGUCGGCAUCUGAAUCAUCAGACAUGUCAAUUGACGGGUCUUGUGUGUCUUCAGAUGCCGAAGAAGACUCCGCCAUGAGCAGCCCCGAAACCAUCCGCACGGCAGCAGAACCGGUGGCGGCAGCCCCGAUGGUGCUGGCGGGGUGCCCACGGUGUCUGAUGUACGUGAUGUUGUCAGACUCUAAUCCCAAGUGCCCAAAAUGUAAGAGUACGGUCCUCUUGGAUUUUCUCAACCAAAGAUAAUAAUUAAGACCAGCGCCAACUGAUUAUGAAAAUUCAGAGAUCCAACACUACUAGCUACUACUUAAUUAUUCUAUAUAUAUGUACGUCCUAAUAAAUUAUACAUUUUAUUUUGUUCAAUCAAAAAAAAUAAAAUAAUGAUAAUAAUUAAUUUAAGCAUACGAAUGCUCUUGCUAGCUA